AGCAGCCGCGGUAAUUCCAGCUCCAAUAGCGUAUAUUAAAGUUGUUGCAGUUAAAAAGCUCGUAGUUGAAUUUCGGGGUUAGUAGGUUGGUCAUGCCUCCGGUAUGCACUGGUCUCACUGAUUCCUCCUUCCUGAUGAGCCGUAAUGCCAUUAAUUUGGUGUUGCGGGGAAUCUGGACUGUUACUUUGAAAAAUUAGAGUGUUUAAAGCAAGCUAACGCUUGAAUACAUUAGCAUGGAAUAAUGGAAUAGGACGUUCGAUCCUAUUUUGUUGGUUUCUAGGAUUGACGUAAUGAUUAAUAGGGAUAGUUGGGGGCAUUAGUAUUCAAUUGUCAGAGGUGAAAUUCUUGGAUUUAUUGAAGACUAACUACUGCGAAAGCAUUUGCCAAGGAUGUUUUCAUUAAUCAAGAACGAAAGUUAGGGGAUCGAAGACGAUCAGAUACCGUCGUAGU
rnacentral:rRNA from 1 species